GAUGAACGCUAGCUACAGGCUUAACACAUGCAAGUCGAGGGGAAACGAUAGAGAAAGCUUGCUUUUUCUAGGCGUCGACCGGCGCACGGGUGAGUAACGCGUAUCCAACCUGCCCAUCACUUGGGGAUAACCUUGCGAAAGUAAGACUAAUACCCAAUGACGUCUCUAGAAGACAUCUGAAGGAGAUUAAAGAUUUAUCGGUGAUGGAUGGGGAUGCGUCUGAUUAGCUUGUUGGCGGGGUAACGGCCCACCAAGGCGACGAUCAGUAGGGGUUCUGAGAGGAAGGCCCCCCACAUUGGAACUGAGACACGGUCCAAACUCCUACGGGAGGCAGCAGUGAGGAAUAUUGGUCAAUGGACGAGAGUCUGAACCAGCCAAGUAGCGUGCAGGAUGACGGCCCUAUGGGUUGUAAACUGCUUUUAUAAGGGAAUAAAGUGAGUCUCGUGAGACUUUUUGCAUGUACCUUAUGAAUAAGGACCGGCUAAUUCCGUGCCAGCAGCC
rnacentral:rRNA from 1 species